rnacentral:piRNA from 1 species
UCCAAAUCUGUAUUCCCAGGUGCCAAG